UCUCACUCUCCCGCGCGAGGCAGGGACCCAAGUGGUGGUUCGCACUUGGCUGGGGUGAAGGGUCCGCAGCUCCUGUGCCCAGGCUCUCCCGCAGACUCCCUUAAGUAUCCUCAGCAAGUCCACACCUAUGUCACCUGGUUUAAAGAACAAGGAUCUGGGCCAUAGAGGUUGGGUGACUAGUCCAAGGUCAUACACUUGGCAGGCCCAAGAUGGAAUCCUCAGCUCUGAAUCGGAACCACUCCCAAUCCAUGGAACAGGCAGCUGUGCUGAGCAGAAGCAGGGGAUUUUGCGGGGUCCUGCUGAGUCAUUUAGCACUUGCCUUGCUGUCAGAAGCUAGACCGCCAGCUGGCUUAUUGGCAGGGAGCACCAGGACUGCCAAGGUUGUGCAGGGCCUAGUGAGCACAGAGGCCCUCAAAGGGGACCCACGCAGAAUGUGAGCUCAGGUACAGAUGAGCUAGAGGAAACUCAGUUGGGACAUCAGCCCUGAAAGGGUGGUGAGGCAAACAUGGGCUCUGCCCAUCUCCACUCUCUGCCAACUUGCCCCAGGAACCAGAUGGACCUCACUGCCAGCCUGGCCUCUCCCUCCCUCAGCCCGCCACUCUUCCUAUGUGUCAAGACCUUGGUUUCUGGCAAGGCCUGCUAGCCAGAGGGCUAUCUCUUUAAAGUGACUCUGCACUUCUCUGCUCACAACCAUCUUGAAUCACUAGAUUCAGAGAAUAAUUUUCCCAACAAUCGGGGGUUUCCUGUCAAGCACCCCCCUAGCCUACUGCCCUCUCCAUACUCACCCCAAAGAAUACAAUUACACCUGAGGCUUCAUGUUACUUUUAAGAAUGACUGCUAAUCUUUCUGGAGCUCUCAACUUUUCAAUUCACCAUGUAAGAUUAAAUAAGAGGAAAAUGUUUGUGUCGCAGUGGCAGCCACCCCAGAAAGUACAGUGGCCAAAAACACAGACCACUUCCUGGGGCAGAAAUGUCACACGGAAGGAAGGUGAUGAACAGCACAAGUCAUGGCAGGAGGAGGACCACCUGGCUGAUUCAUGCUCAGCCCUUACCCACAUGAGCAGAAGCAAAAUGCUGAGGAAAAAGGUGACCAGGCCUCAGAGCUCGGCCUUCCAACAGGCGGUGCUGUCUGCAGAGCGCCCACUUGUGACCGGGCGCCAUCACUGCAGCUACACUGACAAGAGGCCUGGGAGCUGCUCUAACCACCACCACUCCCCAUUAUCAGGUGAAGACAGAGGUCAUGAGUCGUAAUUGUUGCCAUUUGCAUUAGACAAACUUUUGGAAAAAAUACUCCAGUAAUUCUCCUCAAUUUCAGUUUAGAAAUUAGUGACUGUUGGAGUUCCUGUCAUGGCGCAGCGGUUAGCAAAUCUGACUAGGAACCAUGAGGUUGCGGGUUCAAUCCCUGGCCUUGCUCAGUGGGUUAAGGAUCCAGCGUUACCGUGAGCUGUGGUGUAGGUCGCAGACACGGCUUGGAUCCCGCGUUGCUGUGGCUGUGGUGUAGGCUGGCGGCUACAGCUCCGAUCAGACCCCUAACCUGGGAACCUCCAUAUGCCAUGCGAGCGG
rnacentral:lncRNA from 1 species